GAUGAACGCUGGCGGCGUGCCUAAUACAUGCCAGUCGAGCGAAUGGAUUAAGAGCUUGCUCUUAUGAAGUUAGCGGCGGACGGGUGAGUAACACGUGGGUAACCUGCCCAUAAGACUGGGAUAACUCCGGGAAACCGGGGCUAAUACCGGAUAACAUUUUGAACCGCAUGGUUCGAAAUUGAAAGGCGGCUUCGGCUGUCACUUAUGGAUGGACCCGCGUCGCAUUAGCUAGUUGGUGAGGUAACGGCUCACCAAGGCAACGAUGCGUAGCCGACCUGAGAGGGUGAUCGGCCACACUGGGACUGAGACACGGCCCAGACUCCUACGGGAGGCAGCAGUAGGGAAUCUUCCGCAAUGGACGAAAGUCUGACGGAGCAACGCCGCGUGAGUGAUGAAGGCUUUCGGGUCGUAAAACUCUGUUGUUAGGGAAGAACAAGUGCUAGUUGAAUAAGCUGGCACCUUGACGGUACCUAACCAGAAAGCCACGGCUAACUACGUG
rnacentral:rRNA from 1 species